rnacentral:RNase_P_RNA from 1 species
GGCGCUUGCGCCACCCGGCGGGAGGAAAGUCCGGACUCCGCAGGGCGGGAAGUCCCGGCGGCGACGCCGGGAGGGGUCCGGGCAAACCGGGCCGACGGAAAGUGCCACAGAAAACAACCGCCGGCGCCCCAGGGCGCAGGCAAGGGUGAAAAGGCGGUGCAAGAGACCACCGGCCGGGAACGCAAGGCCCCGGCGCAAGGCAAACCCCUUCCGGAGCAAGGUCAAAUAGGGGGCAAGGCGCGGCCCGCGCCAGUCCGCCGCAAGGCGGGGGAGCCCCGGGUUGACCGCACAGAAAAAUGAUCCGGCCCGCCGCAAGGCGGGAACAGAAUCCGGCUUAUGAAUCC